AUUAGAGUUUGAUAGUGGCUCAGGACGAAGAAAGGCGGCGCGCCUAACACAUGCAAGUCGAACGGGGAAGUUAGAAAUAACUUUCUAGUGGCGAACGGGUGAGUAACGCGUAGACAACCAACCUUGUAGUGGGGGACAACACUUCUCUUUCAAAAAGCUAAUACCGCAUAAUCUCCCGAGAUCGCAUGGUCAUGGGAGGAAAAGAGCCGCAAGGCUCCGCUAUAAGACGGGUCUGCGUCUGAUUAGCUAGUUGGAGGGGUAACGGCCCACCAAGGCGACGAUCAGUAGCCGGUCUGAGAGGAUGAACGGCCACACUGGGACUGAGACACGGCCCAGACUCCUACGGGAGGCAGCAGUGGGGAAUCUUCCGCAAUGGACUAUAGUCUGACGGAGCGACGCCGCGUGAGUGAUGAAGGCCCUUGGGUCGUAAAGCUCUGUCAUUGGGGACGAACGACCGCUUCAGGAAAUGGGAGCGGAGUGACGGUACCCAAGAAGGAAGCCACGGCUAACUACGUGCCAGCAGCCGCGGUAAUACGUAGGUGGCAAGCGUUGUCCGGAAUUAUUGGGGCGUAAAGCGCGCGCAGGUGGGAUCUUAAGUCUGUUCUGAAAGUUCGGAGCUUAACUCCCGUGAUGGGAUGGGAAACUGGGGAUUCUUGAGUAUCGGGAGAGGAAAAGCGGGAAUUCCCCGUGUAGCGGGUGAAAUGCGUAUAUAUGGGGGAGGAACCACCAGUGGGCGAAAGGCGGCUUUCUGGACGAUGUCUGACACUGAGGCGCGAAAGCUAGGGGAGCGAACGGGAUUAGAUACCCCGGUAGUCCUAGCCGUAAACGAUGGGUACUAGGUGUGGGGGGUGUCAACUCCUCCCGUGCCGGCGCUAACGCAAUAAGUACCCCGCCUGGGGAGUACGGCCGCAAGGUUGAAACUCAAAGGAAUUGACGGGGGCCCGCACAAGCGGUGGAGUAUGUGGUUUAAUUCGACGCAACGCGAAGAACCUUACCAGGGUUUGACAUCCACUGAAUACCUAAGAGAUUAGGUCGGCCCUUUCGGGGGACAGUGAGACAGGUGGUGCAUGGCUGUCGUCAGCUCGUGUCGUGAGAUGUUGGGUUAAGUCCCGCAACGAGCGCAACCCUUAUCCUGUGUUACCAGCGUGAAAGACGGGGACUCACAGGAGACUGCCGCCGACAAGGCGGAGGAAGGCGGGGAUGACGUCAAGUCAUCAUGCCCCUUAUGUCCUGGGCUACACACGUACUACAAUGGGUGCAAACAGAGGGCUGCAAUCCCGCGAGGGGGAGCGAAUCCCACAAAGGCACUCUCAGUUCGGAUCGCAGGCUGCAACCCGCCUGCGUGAAGUCGGAAUCGCUAGUAAUCGCAGAUCAGCAGGCUGCGGUGAAUACGUUCCCGGGCCUUGUACACACCGCCCGUCACACCACGAAAGUCUGCAACACCCGAAGCCGGUGGGGUAACCGCAAGGAGCCAGCCGUCGAAGGUGGGGCCGAUGAUUGGGGUGAAGUCGUAACAAGGUAGCCGUAUCGGAAGGUGCGGCUGGAUCACCUCCUUUGUGAAU
rnacentral:rRNA from 1 species